UAUCACUGACGUGUGUUUCAAUUUCCUUGU
rnacentral:piRNA from 1 species